UACAGAGGUCCCGAGCGUUGUUCGGAUUUAUUGGGCGUAAAGGGUGCGUAGGCGGCGGAGUAAGUUGGGUGUGAAAUCCCGGGGCUUAACCUCGGAAUUGCAUUCAAUACUGCUUCGCUCGAGUACUGGAGAGGAGGCUGGAAUUUACGGUGUAGCAGUGAAAUGCGUAGAUAUCGUAAGGAAGGCCGGUGGCGAAAGCGAGCCUCUGGAAAGUUCCUGACACUGAGGCACGAAGGCCAGGGGAGCAAACGGG
rnacentral:rRNA from 1 species